UACGUAGGGGCCUAGCGUUGUCCGGAUUUAUUGGGCGUAAAGAGCUCGUAGGCGGUUCGGCAAGUCGGAUGUGAAAUCUCCACGCUUAACGUGGAGGGGCCAUUCGAAACUGCCGUGACUUGAGUCCGGUAGGGGAGUGUGGAAUUCCCGGUGUAGAGGUGAAAUUCGUAGAUAUCAAGCAGAACACCUGUGGCGAAGGCGGCCUUCUGGACGAUGACUGACGCUGAGACGCGAAAGCGUGGGGAGCAAACAGG
rnacentral:rRNA from 1 species